rnacentral:tRNA from 1 species
CGGAGAGGUGCCGGAGUGGUAACGGAGCAGAUUGCUAAUCUGUCGGCGGGUAACCGUCGCCUGGGUUCGAGUCCCAGUCUCUCCGCAUC